GGGGCCGUGGCUCAAUGAAAGAGCAUCUGCUUUGCAUGUAGAAGCUCCCAUGUUCAAUCCCUGGCACCUCCA
rnacentral:tRNA from 1 species